UACGUAGGGGGCAAGCGUUGUCCGGAAUUACUGGGCGUAAAGCGUGCGCAGGCGGUUUGCUAAGACAGGUGUGAAAUCCCCGGGCUUAACCUGGGAACUGCGCUUGUAACUGGCAAGCUAGAGUGUGGCAGAGGGGGGUGGAAUUCCACGUGUAGCAGUGAAAUGCGUAGAGAUGUGGAGGAACACCGAUGGCGAAGGCAGCCCCCUGGGCUAACACUGACGCUCAUGCACGAAAGCGUGGGGAGCAAACAGG
rnacentral:rRNA from 1 species